rnacentral:tRNA from 1 species
GGCCUUAUAGCCCAGUGGUAUUUUGGGGGUGGGAUAAGGCUUAGGACUAUUAGGUCAUGGGUUCGAUUCCCACAAUGGGGUUU